rnacentral:rRNA from 1 species
GUUUGACCUCAAAUCAGGUAGGAGUACCCGCUGAACUUAAGCAUAUCAAUAAGCGGAGGAAAAGAAACCAACCGGGAUUGCCUUAGUAACGGCGAGUGAAGCGGCAAAAGCUCAAAUUUGAAAUCUGGUACCUUCGGUGCCCGAGUUGUAAUUUGGAGAGGGCAACUUUGGGGCCGUUCCUUGUCUAUGUUCCUUGGAACAGGACGUCAUAGAGGGUGAGAAUCCCGUGUGGCGAGGAGUGCGGUUCUUUGUAAAGUGCCUUCGAAGAGUCGAGUUGUUUGGGAAUGCAGCUCUAAGUGGGUGGUAAAUUCCAUCUAAAGCUAAAUAUUGGCGAGAGACCGAUAGCGAACAAGUACAGUGAUGGAAAGAUGAAAAGAACUUUGAAAAGAGAGUGAAAAAGUACGUGAAAUUGUUGAAAGGGAAGGGCAUUUGAUCAGACAUGGUGUUUUGUGCCCUCUGCUCCUUGUGGGUAGGGGAAUCUCGCAUUUCACUGGGCCAGCAUCAGUUUUGGUGGCAGGAUAAAUCCAUAGGAAUGUAGCUUGCCUCGGUAAGUAUUAUAGCCUGUGGGAAUACUGCCAGCUGGGACUGAGGACUGCGACGUAAGUCAAGG